AUUGAACGCUGGCGGUAGGCCUAACACAUGCAAGUCGAGCGGUAGCACAGAGAGCUUGCUCUCGGGUGACGAGCGGCGGACGGGUGAGUAAUGUCUGGGAAACUGCCUGAUGGAGGGGGAUAACUACUGGAAACGGUAGCUAAUACCGCAUAACGUCGCAAGACCAAAGUGGGGGACCUUCGGGCCUCAUGCCAUCAGAUGUGCCCAGAUGGGAUUAGCUAGUAGGUGGGGUAACGGCUCACCUAGGCGACGAUCCCUAGCUGGUCUGAGAGGAUGACCAGCCACACUGGAACUGAGACACGGUCCAGACUCCUACGGGAGGCAGCAGUGGGGAAUAUUGCACAAUGGGCGCAAGCCUGAUGCAGCCAUGCCGCGUGUGUGAAGAAGGCCUUCGGGUUGUAAAGCACUUUCAGCGGGGAGGAAGGCGGUGAGGUUAAUAACCUCAUCGAUUGACGUUACCCGCAGAAGAAGCACCGGCUAACUCCGUGCCAGCAGCCGCGGUAAUACGGAGGGUGCAAGCGUUAAUCGGAAUUACUGGGCGUAAAGCGCACGCAGGCGGUCUGUCAAGUCGGAUGUGAAAUCCCCGGGCUCAACCUGGGAACUGCAUUCGAAACUGGCAGGCUAGAGUCUUGUAGAGGGGGGUAGAAUUCCAGGUGUAGCGGUGAAAUGCGUAGAGAUCUGGAGGAAUACCGGUGGCGAAGGCGGCCCCCUGGACAAAGACUGACGCUCAGGUGCGAAAGCGUGGGGAGCAAACAGGAUUAGAUACCCUGGUAGUCCACGCCGUAAACGAUGUCGAUUUGGAGGUUGUGCCCUUGAGGCGUGGCUUCCGGAGCUAACGCGUUAAAUCGACCGCCUGGGGAGUACGGCCGCAAGGUUAAAACUCAAAUGAAUUGACGGGGGCCCGCACAAGCGGUGGAGCAUGUGGUUUAAUUCGAUGCAACGCGAAGAACCUUACCUGGUCUUGACAUCCACAGAACUUUCCAGAGAUGGAUUGGUGCCUUCGGGAACUGUGAGACAGGUGCUGCAUGGCUGUCGUCAGCUCGUGUUGUGAAAUGUUGGGUUAAGUCCCGCAACGAGCGCAACCCUUAUCCUUUGUUGCCAGCGGUUAGGCCGGGAACUCAAAGGAGACUGCCAGUGAUAAACUGGAGGAAGGUGGGGAUGACGUCAAGUCAUCAUGGCCCUUACGACCAGGGCUACACACGUGCUACAAUGGCAUAUACAAAGAGAAGCGACCUCGCGAGAGCAAGCGGACCUCAUAAAGUAUGUCGUAGUCCGGAUUGGAGUCUGCAACUCGACUCCAUGAAGUCGGAAUCGCUAGUAAUCGUAGAUCAGAAUGCUACGGUGAAUACGUUCCCGGGUCU
rnacentral:rRNA from 1 species